rnacentral:rRNA from 2 species
UACGUAGGGCGCGAGCGUUGUCCGGAAUUAUUGGGCGUAAAGAGCUCGUAGGCGGCCGGUUGCGUCUGCUGUGAAAUCCCGGGGCUUAACCCCGGGCGUGCAGUGGAUACGGGCCGGCUGGAGGCAGGCAGGGGAGAAUGGAAUUCCCGGUGUAGCGGUGAAAUGCGCAGAUAUCGGGAGGAACACCGGUGGCGAAGGCGGUUCUCUGGGCCUGUACUGACGCUGAGGAGCGAAAGCGUGGGGAGCGAACAGG